rnacentral:tRNA from 1 species
GUGAGUUAGGUUUAUUCCGAGACUGAUUUGAAAUCAGUUUAAUUAUGUUUAGUCAUAAAACUCAUU